UGGGGAAUAUUGCACAAUGGGCGAAAGCCUGAUGCAGCGACGCCGCGUGAGGGAUGACGGCCUUCGGGUUGUAAACCUCUUUCAGCAGGGACGAAGCGCAAGUGACGGUACCUGCAGAAGAAGCACCGGCUAACUACGUGCCAGCAGCCGCGGUAAUACGUAGGGUGCAAGCGUUGUCCGGAAUUACUGGGCGUAAAGAGUUCGUAGGCGGUUUGUCGCGUCGUUUGUGAAAACCAGCAGCUCAACUGCUGGCUUGCAGGCGAUACGGGCAGACUUGAGUACUGCAGGGGAGACUGGAAUUCCGGGUGUAGCGGUGAAAUGCGCAGAUAUCAGGAGGAACACGGGUGGCGAAGGCGGGUCUCUGGGCAGUAACUGACGCUGAGGAACGAAAGCGUGGGUAGCGAACAGG
rnacentral:rRNA from 1 species